AUGCAUGUCUAAGUACAGGCCUACCUAAGGCGAAACCGCGAAUGGCUCAUUAAAUCAGUCAUGAUUCAUUGGAUGUAGAGUAAAAGAUAUUUUCCAAGGAAAAAUUUUUACUCGGAUAACUGUGGUAAUUCUAGAGCUAAUACAGGCAAUUGAGCUCCGACCCCUUCCCGCCGGCAAGUAGAGGAGUUUUCUCUCCUCCAACUACCGACGACGAGGGGGGAAGGGCGCUUUUAUUAGAUUCAAAGACCGAUAAGGCGCGGCGACUCCGGUCCCCGCCGAAUCAAAAGGUUAAUGAUGACUCUGAAUAACCAAGCCGAGCGCUGAGGUCUUAGUACCGGCGCCGUAUCCUUCGAGUGUCUGCCUUAUCAGCUUUCGAUUGUAGGCUAUACGCCUACAAUGGCUGUAACGGGUAACGGGGAAUCAGGGUUCGAUUCCGGAGAGGGAGCCUGAGAAACGGCUACCACAUCCAA
rnacentral:rRNA from 1 species